rnacentral:rRNA from 1 species
AUUGAACGCUGGCGGCAUGCCUUACACAUGCAAGGUCGAACGGCAGCGGACCUUCGGGUGCCGGCGAGUGGCGAACGGGUGAGUAAUAUAUCGGAACGUACCUUUCAGUGGGGGAUAACGUAGCGAAAGUUACGCUAAUACCGCAUAUUCUGUGAGCAGGAAAGCAGGGGAUCGCAAGACCUUGCGCUGAUUGAGCGGCCGAUAUCAGAUUAGCUAGUUGGUGAGGUAAAGGCUCACCAAGGCGACGAUCUGUAGCGGGUCUGAGAGGAUGAUCCGCCACACUGGAACUGAGACACGGUCCAGACUCCUACGGGAGGCAGCAGUGGGGAAUUUUGGACAAUGGGCGCAAGCCUGAUCCAGCCAUGCCGUGUGAGUGAAGAAGGCCUCGGU